UUAAAUUGAAGAGUUUGAUCAUGGCUCAGAUUGAACGCUGGCGGCAGGCCUAACACAUGCAAGUCGAACGGUAACAGGAAUCAGCUUGCUGAUUCGCUGACGAGUGGCGGACGGGUGAGUAAUGUCUGGGAAACUGCCUGAUGGAGGGGGAUAACUACUGGAAACGGUAGCUAAUACCGCAUAACGUCGCAAGACCAAAGAGGGGGACCUUCGGGCCUCUUGCCAUCAGAUGUGCCCAGAUGGGAUUAGCUAGUAGGUGGGGUAACGGCUCACCUAGGCGACGAUCCCUAGCUGGUCUGAGAGGAUGACCAGCCACACUGGAACUGAGACACGGUCCAGACUCCUACGGGAGGCAGCAGUGGGGAAUAUUGCACAAUGGGCGCAAGCCUGAUGCAGCCAUGCCGCGUGUAUGAAGAAGGCCUUCGGGUUGUAAAGUACUUUCAGCGGGGAGGAAGGGAGUAAAGUUAAUACCUUUGCUCAUUGACGUUACCCGCAGAAGAAGCACCGGCUAACUCCGUGCCAGCAGCCGCGGUAAUACGGAGGGUGCAAGCGUUAAUCGGAAUUACUGGGCGUAAAGCGCACGCAGGCGGUUUGUUAAGUCAGAUGUGAAAUCCCCGGGCUCAACCUGGGAACUGCAUCUGAUACUGGCAAGCUUGAGUCUCGUAGAGGGGGGUAGAAUUCCAGGUGUAGCGGUGAAAUGCGUAGAGAUCUGGAGGAAUACCGGUGGCGAAGGCGGCCCCCUGGACGAAGACUGACGCUCAGGUGCGAAAGCGUGGGGAGCAAACAGGAUUAGAUACCCUGGUAGUCCACGCCGUAAACGAUGUCGACUUGGAGGUUGUGCCCUUGAGGCGUGGCUUCCGGAGCUAACGCGUUAAGUCGACCGCCUGGGGAGUACGGCCGCAAGGUUAAAACUCAAAUGAAUUGACGGGGGCCCGCACAAGCGGUGGAGCAUGUGGUUUAAUUCGAUGCAACGCGAAGAACCUUACCUGGUCUUGACAUCCACGGAAGUUUUCAGAGAUGAGAAUGUGCCUUCGGGAACCGUGAGACAGGUGCUGCAUGGCUGUCGUCAGCUCGUGUUGUGAAAUGUUGGGUUAAGUCCCGCAACGAGCGCAACCCUUAUCCUUUGUUGCCAGCGGUCCGGCCGGGAACUCAAAGGAGACUGCCAGUGAUAAACUGGAGGAAGGUGGGGAUGACGUCAAGUCAUCAUGGCCCUUACGACCAGGGCUACACACGUGCUACAAUGGCGCAUACAAAGAGAAGCGACCUCGCGAGAGCAAGCGGACCUCAUAAAGUGCGUCGUAGUCCGGAUUGGAGUCUGCAACUCGACUCCAUGAAGUCGGAAUCGCUAGUAAUCGUGGAUCAGAAUGCCACGGUGAAUACGUUCCCGGGCCUUGUACACACCGCCCGUCACACCAUGGGAGUGGGUUGCAAAAGAAGUAGGUAGCUUAACCUUCGGGAGGGCGCUUACCACUUUGUGAUUCAUGACUGGGGUGAAGUCGUAACAAGGUAACCGUAGGGGAACCUGCGGUUGGAUCACCUCCUUACCUUAAAGAAGC
rnacentral:rRNA from 1 species